CACCCCCACCCCCACUCCGGCGCGCCAUCUUUAGUGCUGGCAGCGAGGCUUCUUGGCCCCAUACGUCCAACCUUGCUGCUGGAGAGGUUGGGGUUUAUUUUUAACUGACUUACAUGAACGUGACCCCAUUUCCGAGGCCUGGCGCCUUUCUCAUCCUGUAAGUCUUCGCUGGAAUGUCACCUUGCGAGGGAAGUUGUUCCUGAUCACCCUGACUAGGUCCCCUACCGGUACUAAGAAAAAUCUGCAAAACAAAUGCUUGGCCAGCCUUAAGGAAUGAAUGACCUUAGACUGAGUAAACCACACCAAGAUCACUCCUGGAAAAUGUUUUCAAGUGUCAAAGAUGGGAUGAUCGACCAAAAGUUCUUACUGAAACCAAAGAAGGCAAACACCACCUACUAUAUUAUAAAGUAGAGACAGGGUUUCAUCAUGCUGGCCAGACUGGUCUUGAGCUCCUGACAUCGUGAUCUGCCUGCCUCGGCCUCCCAAAGUACUGGGAUUACAGGCAUGAGCCACCACGCCCAGCCAAGACAUGUUGUUUUUACAGGAGAGGACACUGCACUGGCCCCUCCGGAGGUCACAGCAACGUGGCGCCAUCUUGGAAGCAGAGAGCAGCCCUCACCAGACACCAACACCAGGCGCGGUGAUCUUGGCCUCCAAAGCUGUAAGAAAUAAAUUCUGCUCCUUAUAAAUUA